GCGCCCGUAGCUCAGUUGGUUAGAGUGCAUGCUUGACAUGCAUGAGGUCACUGGUUCGAGUCCAGUCGGGCGCA
rnacentral:tRNA from 2 species